rfam:Aspergillus flavus AF70 777, whole genome shotgun sequence.
ACAUACGACCACAGGGUGUGGAAAAUAGGGCUUCCCGUCCGCUCAGCCGUACUCAAGCCACACGCCGGGAGGUUAGUAGUUGGGUGGGUGA